UACGUAGGGGGCGAGCGUUGUCCGGAAUUAUUGGGCGUAAAGCGCGUGCAGGCGGUUUUUUAAGUUCGUGGUGAAAGACCGGGGCUCAACCCCGGAGCGUCCGCGAAGACUGGAAGACUGGAGUGUCGGAGAGGAGUGCGGAAUACCAGGUGUAGCGGUGGAAUGCGUAGAGAUCUGGUGGAACACCGAUGGCGAAGGCAGCACUCUGGCCGAAGACUGACGCUGAGACGCGAAAGCGUGGGGAGCGAACAGG
rnacentral:rRNA from 1 species